GACGAACGCUGGCGGCGUGCUUAACACAUGCAAGUCGAACGGAAAGGCCCUGCUUUUGUGGGGUGCUCGAGUGGCGAACGGGUGAGUAACACGUGAGUAACCUGCCCUUGACUUUGGGAUAACUUCAGGAAACUGGGGCUAAUACCGGAUAGGAGCUCCUGCUGCAUGGUGGGGGUUGGAAAGUUUCGGCGGUUGGGGGUGGACUCGCGGCUUAUCCGCUUGUUGGUGGGGUAGUGGCUUACCAAGGCUUUGACGGGUAGCCGGCCUGAGAGGGUGAACGGCCACAUUGGGACUGAGAUACGGCCCAGACUCCUACGGGAGGCAGCAGUGGGGAAUAUUGCACAAUGGGCGGAAGCCUGAUGCAGCAACGCCGCGUGCGGGAUGACGGCCUUCGGGUUGUAAACCGCUUUCGCCUGUGACGAAGCGUGAGUGACGGUAAUGGGUAAAGAAGCACCGGCUAACUACGUG
rnacentral:rRNA from 1 species